UAACAGCAGCAUACCACCCUGCAUCCUACUGCUGGCUUGCUUCUGAAGCUAAGCAGGGUUGGUCCUUGGAUGGGAGACCAGAUGCUGCUGGAAGUGGUGUUGG
rnacentral:rRNA from 1 species